CGCGGCCUAUCAGCUUGUUGGUGGGGCAGUGGCCUACCAAGGCGACGACGGGUAGCCGGCCUGAGAGGACGACCGGCCACACUGGGACUGAGACACGGCCCAGACUCCUACGGGAGGCAGCAGUGGGGAAUAUUGCGCAAUGGGCGAAAGCCUGACGCAGCGACGCCGCGUGAGGGAUGAAGGCCUUCGGGUUGUAAACCUCUUUCAGCAGGGACGAAGCGCAAGUGACGGUACCUGCAGAAGAAGCACCGGCCAACUACGUGCCAGCAGCCGCGGUAAUACGUAGGGUGCAAGCGUUGUCCGGAAUUAUUGGGCGUAAAGAGCUCGUAGGCGGCUCGUCGCGUCGGCUGUGAAAACCUGGGGCUCAACCCCGGGCCUGCAGCCGAUACGGGCGGGCUAGAAUUCGGUAGGGGAGACUGGAAUUCCUGGUGUAGCGGUGAAAUGCGCAGAUAUCAGGAGGAACACCGGUGGCGAAGGCGGGUCUCUGGGCCGAUAUUGACGCUGAGGGGCGAAAGCGCGGGGAGCGAACAGGAUUAGAUACCCUGGUAGUCCACGCCGUAAACGUUGGGAACUAGGUGUGGGCCACAUUCCACGUGGUCUGUGCCGCAGCUAACGCAUUAAGUUCCCCGCCUGGGAGUACGGA
rnacentral:rRNA from 1 species